AUGGCGGAGGCGGCCCCGGGUCGGACGCUGCUGCUGGUGAACCUGGCGGCCAUCAUGGAGCGCGCGGACGAGGCGCUCCUGCCGGCGGUGUACCGGGAGGUGGGCGCCGCGCUGCACGCCACGCCCAUGGGGCUCGGCGCGCUCACCUUGUACCGCUCCUUCGUGCAGGCCGCGUGCUACCCGCUCGCCGCCUACGCCGCCGUGCGCUACAACCGCGCCCACGUCAUCGCCGUGGGGGCCUUCCUCUGGGCCGCCGCCACCUUCCUCGUCGCCGUCUCCGGCACCUUCGCCCAGGUAGCAGUAGCUAGGGGAUUGAAUGGCGUUGGUCUAGCACUCGUCAAUCCUGCUAUCCAAUCUCUAGUGGCAGACUAUACUGAUCAUAAUACGCGGGGUUCUGCGUUUGGAUGGCUUCAACUUACAGGCAACAUAGGUUCAGUGAUUGGAGGCUUGUUCUCUAUCAUGCUAGCAUCAACCACAAUCAUGGGUAUCGCCGGCUGGCGUAUAGCAUUUCACAUUGUUGCUCUCAUCAGUGUGAUGGUCGGGGCGUUGGUCUAUCUGUUUGCAGUGGACCCUCAUUUCUGCAACAGCGAGAGUGACGAGCAGCUCGUGCGGAAGUCGGCGUGGGCAGAGAUGAAGGGUUUGGUUGCAGAAGCUAAGGCUGUUGUGAAGAUACCAUCGUUUCAGAUCAUCGUGGCUCAGGGUGUCACAGGGUCAUUCCCAUGGUCGGCAUUGUCGUUUGCCCCAAUGUGGUUGGAGCUGAUGGGCUUUACACACAACAAAACAGGACUUCUCAUGGCAAUAUUUGCAUUGGCAAGCUCACUUGGAGGGCUCUUUGGUGGAAAGAUGGGGGAUUAUCUCUCUGUUCGUUACCCGGAUUCUGGCAGGAUAGUGCUGUCUCAAAUAAGCUCGGGUUCUGCAGUCCCGCUUGCAGCUUUGUUGCUGCUUGCACUACCUGAUGACUCAUCUACUGGUGUCUUGCAUGGACUUGUUAUGUUUAUCAUGGGGCUAAGCAUCUCCUGGAAUGGCCCUGCUACUAACAGCCCCAUAUUUGCAGAGAUCGUUCCUGAGAGAUCAAGGGCAAGUAUCUACGCGCUGGACCGUUCCUUCGAGUCUGUCCUAGCCUCAUUUGCUCCACCAGUUGUCGGCUUAUUAGCCGAGCAUGCAUACGGCUACAACCCUAUCUCAUAUGGGUCUGGAGUGAGCAGUGUUGUGAGCGACAGGUCAAAUGCCGCAGCUCUAGCGAAAGCUCUUUACAUGGCGAUUGCCAUCCCGAUGCUGCUGUGCUGCUUCAUCUACUCGCUGUUGUACCGGACAUACCCACGCGACAGGGAGAGGGCAAGAAUGCACUCUCUUAUCACAUCGGAGUUGCAGCAUAUCGAGCUGGAAAGGUGUCAUGGAGUAGGAGAUUUCUACGCGGGAAGGGAGGAUGCCACUGUGAUCGAUAUCGAGUAUGGUGAGGAAGAGCUUGAUGCUGAUGACGAUGAGAAAGCGUUGAUGCAUCACCAAGUUGAACACAGUGGUAGUCUCAGGUGA
rnacentral:rRNA from 1 species